rnacentral:rRNA from 1 species
CCGCCAGACUCCUACGGGAGGCAGCAGUGGGGGAUAUUGCACAAUGGGGGGAACCCUGAUGCAGCGACGCCGCGUGGGUGAAGGAGUGCUUCGGCAUGUAAAGCCCUAUCGGCAGGGAAGAAGCAAGACGGUACCUGACUAAGAAGCCCCGGCUAACUACGUGCCAGCAGCCGCGGUAAUACGUAGGGGGCAAGCGUUAUCCGGAUUUACUGGGUGUAAAGGGGGCGCAGACGGCAGCGCAAGCCAGGAGUGAAAGCCCGGGGCCCAACCCCGGGACUGCUCUUGGAACUGCGCGGCUGGAGUGCAGGAGGGGCAGGCGGAAUUCCUGGUGUAGCGGUGAAAUGCGUAGAUAUUAGGAAGAACACCAGUGGCGAAGGCGGCUUGCUGGACAGUAA